UAUCUAAAUGUUUAUUUAAUUUUGAGUAAAUUAUAUUAAUUGUUAUUUUACCGUUGGGGGAUGAGUAAUUAAAAAUUAGUAUAAUUUAUAUUUGAUGUACCUUUUGUAUCAGGUUUAAUUAAAUUUAUUGUUUAAGAAUUGGUUUUCGAAAAAAAAAGAUUUAAUUAUUUUGGUUUUUUAUGUGGAAUAAUAAAGAUUAAAAUAUAGUUAGUUUUGAUAUAAAUAACAUUUUUUUAUAUCUAAUUAUUUAAUUGUUUGAUUUAAUCAAUUUUAUUUAGUUUUAUAAGAUGAAAUUUAAUAAAAAAGUUAUCGGGGGAUAAUUUUUGAUAUUAAAAAAUAGUUUUAAAUUAUUUAGAAUUUAUUAUUUAUGUUUAAAAAUAUGUUUUUUUUGUAAAAAUUAUUUAAAUUAUUUUAUUUAUUAAAUUUCUUUUUUUUGUUAUUAAAUUGUUUAAUAAAAUUAAUUUUUUAAUUUAAUUAUGAUUAAAUUAGUAGAAAAAUAUAUAGAAUUUAGGAAUUCGGCAAUUAUAAUUUUCGCCUGUUUAACAAAAACAUCUCUGGAAGAAUAAAAUUUUUGGUUUUACCUGCUCAAUGAUUAAAAUUAAAUAGCUGCAGUAAUUUGACUGUACAAAGGUAGCAUAAUAAUUAGUCUUUUAAUUAGAGAAUAGAAUGAAUGGUUUGACGGAAUAUUAACUUUCUUAAUUUUAUGAAUUUGAAUUUGAAUUUUAAGUUAAAAUGCUUAAGUUUAUGAAAGGGACGAUAAGACCCUAUAGAAUUUAAAAAUUGUUGUGUAAUUGAAUUUUUUUGUUGGGGUGACAAGAAUAAAACAAUACUUUUUUUUACAUUUAUUUAUGUAUAGUGGAUCUUUUUUUAAAGAAAAUAAGUUAAAAUUACCUUAGGGAUAACAGUAUAAUUUUUAAGAAAGAUCUUAUUGAAAUAAAAGGUUAUAACCUCGAUGUUGAAUUAAAUAUAGAUUAGAUGCAGAAGUUUAAUUUUUGAGUCUGUUCGACUUUAAUUUUUUACAUGAUUUGAGUUCAGACCGGUGUAAGCCAGGUUGGUUUCUAUCUUUUUAUAUUUUUAUAAUUUAGUACGAAAGGAUUAAUUAUAUAAUUAAAUAAUUUAAAAUAGAUUAAAUUUAAU
rnacentral:rRNA from 1 species